CCAUCAUUCUUCCACCGGCAUGAAUCUCAGAGUAUGCAGUGGAUAGAGGCCAAAGAGACGAAGAUUUCUCCUCAACUGCCUCCACCCGUGCACACUCCGAUGCCUUCCUCGAUGACACCCUCCGAGGACUGCCGAUGAGUCAAAUCAAUGAGAUCGAUGAUGAUACACUCUUCCUAUUUUCUCUUCUAUCUAACGGUCCUGUGGAUUUGGACAACCUCAUCAAUACCAACGCCAAUGUUUUCUCCUCUACCCAAGGGUCUGCAAAUGCUCAGGAGGGUCGAUGACCCAGAGCUACAUUAAUUCCAUCAUCCCUACUUUUGCUCGGCCUCAUAUCCCAGCUGUUAAGCUUCAAUAGCCACCACCUCAGAUCCUUUGCCCCCAUCCAUCACCACUUUAUCUUCUCUCUCGUGCAUAAGGCCU
rnacentral:lncRNA from 1 species